AGUGGCUCAUUCACCGACUUAUGUCAGCCCCUUCGGGACGUGCUACAUAAAAUUCGAAUGACGCACAACAAGGUGCCUGCCGUCCAACUUCUGAUAUCAGCGUAGCUAUGCGAAACGUCGAGUUAGGCACCGCCUU
rnacentral:sRNA from 17 species